rnacentral:snoRNA from 1 species
GAUCCCUGGCAAUGGGCAAAGAGACACCUUGUUGCUGUUCUUAUCUCAUCCAGGGGCAAAGCAAAUGUCAGUCCAUCAACCUAGCUUGAUGCCUGGUUUGGUGGCAAAAGCUGAUUUAUGCCUAGGAUUCAUAA